GGAGACGAGAGGAGGAGACGAGACGAGAGGAGACGAGAGGAGACGAGGAGACGAGAAGAGACGAGAGGAGACGAGACGAGAGGAGAGAGGAGGAGACGAGGGAGGAGGAGGAGAGGAGACGAGACGAGAGGAGGACGAGAGGAGGAGACGAGAGGAGAGGAGACGAGAGGAGGACGUGAGGAGACGAGGAGGAGAGGAGACGAGACGAGAGGAGACGAGGAAGGAGGAGACGAGAGGAGACGUGAGGAGACGAGAGGAGAGGAGACGAGGACGAGGAGACGAGAGGGAGACGAGGACGAGAGGAGACGAGAGAGACGAGGAGACGAGAGGAGACGAGAGGAGACGAGGAGAGACGAGGAGGAGGAGAGAGAGGAGACGAGACGAGACGAGAGGAGACGAGAGGAGAGGAGACGAGGAGGAGGAGGAGGAGACGAGACGAGAGGAGACGAGAGGAGAGGAGACGAGAGGAGAGGAGACGAGAGGAGAGGAGGAGGAGAGAGAGGAGAGGAGACGAGAGGAGAGGAGAGGAGACGAGAGGAGAGGAGAGGAGACGAGAGGAGACGAGAGGAGACGAGAGGAGAGGAGAGGAGAGGAGACGAGACGAGAGGAGACGAGAGGAGAGGAGACGAGAGGAGACGAGAGGAGACGAGAGGAGAGGAGACGAGACGAGAGGAGACGAGGAGACGAGACGUGAGGAGAGGAGAGGAGACGAGAGGAGAGGAGAGGAGACGAGAGGAGACGAGAGGAGACGAGAGGAGAGGAGAGGAGACGAGAGGAGACGGAGAGGAGGAGGAGAGGAGACGAGAGGAGACGAGAGGAGACGAGAGGAGAGGAGACGAGACGAGACGACGAGAGGAGAGGAGACGAGAGGAGAGGAGACGAGAGGAGACGAGAGGAGACGAGAGGAGAGGAGACGAGACGAGAGGAGACGAGAGGAGAGGAGACGAGAGGAGACGUGAGGAGACGAGAGGAGAGGAGAGGAGACGAGAGGAGACGAGAGGAGACGAGACGAGGAGGAGAGAGAGGAGACGAGAGGAGAGGAGAGGAGACGAGAGGAGACGAGAGGAGACGAGAGGAGACGAGACGAGAGAGAGGAGACGAGACGAGAGCGAGAGAGACGAGGAGACGAGACGAGAGGAGAGAGAGAGACGAGAGGAGACGAGACGAGAGGAGAGGAGACGAGAGGAGACGAGAGGAGACGAGAGGAGACGAGACGAGGAGACGAGAGGAGACGAGAGAGAGAGAGGAGACGAGAGGAGGAGGAGACGAGAGGAGACGAGAGGAGACGAGGAGACGAGGAGAGAGGAGACGAGAGGAGACGAGAUGAGAGGAGGAGACGAGAGGAGGAGACGAGAGGAGAGGAGACGAGAGGAGACGAGAUGA
rnacentral:lncRNA from 1 species